rnacentral:rRNA from 1 species
AUUGAACGCUGGCGGCAGGCCUAACACAUGCAAGUCGAGCGGAUGAAGGGAGCUUGCUCCUGGAUUCAGCGGCGGACGGGUGAGUAAUGCCUAGGAAUCUGCCUGGUAGUGGGGGAUAACGUCCGGAAACGGGCGCUAAUACCGCAUACGUCCUGAGGGAGAAAGUGGGGGAUCUUCGGACCUCACGCUAUCAGAUGAGCCUAGGUCGGAUUAGCUAGUUGGUGGGGUAAAGGCCUACCAAGGCGACGGUCCGUAACUGGUCUGAGAGGAUGAUCAGUCACACUGGAACUGAGACACGGUCCAGACUCCUACGGGAGGCAGCAGUGGGGAAUAUUGGACAAAGGGCGAAAGCCUGAUCCAGCCAUGCCGCGUGUGUGAAGAAGGUCUUCGGAUUGUAAAGCACUUUAAGUUGGGAGGAAGGGCAGUAAGUUAAUACCUUGCUGUUUUGACGUUACCAACAGAAUAAGCACCGGCUAACUUCGUG